AUAUUGUAAGGGGUUAAUAUGUAGUUUGUAUUUGAAUAGUUAGAUUAACGUGUUAGUAAUCCAAUUGUAGGCGGUUCGUGUGUGGAUCUCGUCAACAUAUCGUCGCAAACAGGUGAGUCUUGAUGUGGGUGACUUGGAGCCGGAGGGGAUUCAGAGUGGCCAUUGUGAACACUUUUGGGUUUGAAAAAGAGACUGGUUUUCUUAAGUUAUUUUUAAUUACUAUUUAAGUUUUGGGUUGUAAUAAGGCCAUUUUAACUUUAUUUUCUUCUUUAAUUUUCUAAGAUUAUAUUAUUUUAAACAACUUUAAAUUGAUGGAUAAUAAUAA